UUUAGAGUGGGGAGUAACGGGUACGAAAGACUCGCUAAUACCGCAUAUGACGAAAGUUGAAAGGAGUAAUCCGUCUAAAGAUGAGCCCGCGUCCGAUUAGCUAGUUGGUAGAGUAAAAGCCUACCAAGGCGACGAUCGGUAGCUGGUCUGAGAGGAUGAUCAGCCACAAUGGGACUGAGACACGGCCCAUACUCCUACGGGAGGCAGCAGUGGGAAUUUUACGCAAUGGCGAAAGCCUGACGUAGCGACACCGCGUGAGCGAAGAAGCCCCUUGGGGUGUAAAGCUCUGUCAGCUGGAACGAAAAAAAUGACGGUACCAGCAGAGGAAGCAUCGGCUAACUACGUG
rnacentral:rRNA from 1 species